GGGGGUAUAGCUCAGUUGGUAGAGCAGUUGACUCUUAAUCAAUUGGUCGUAGGUUCGAAUCCUACUGCCCCUACCA
rnacentral:tRNA from 5 species